AUGUACCGGUUCUCGUUAGAUCACCGAAGUCAAGCAUCUUUGGGCGCGGUCAGUACUCAGGGUGACCACCAGCGAACACC